rnacentral:piRNA from 1 species
UCAGCAUCAUCGGCGACAUCAACAUGAAC